UACGAAGGGGGCUAGCGUUGCUCGGAAUCACUGGGCGUAAAGGGCGCGUAGGCGGCCAUUCAAGUCAGGGGUGAAAGCCCAAGGCUCAACCUUGGAAUUGCCUUUGAUACUGUUUGGCUUGAGACCGGAAGAGGUUAGUGGAACUGCGAGUGUAGAGGUGAAAUUCGUAGAUAUUCGCAAGAACACCAGUGACGAAGGCGGCUAACUGGUCCGGUUCUGACGCUGAGGCGCGAAAGCGUGGGGAGCAAACAGG
rnacentral:rRNA from 1 species